rnacentral:rRNA from 1 species
GACGAACGCUGGCGGCGUGCUUAACACAUGCAAGUCGACAUGAGUGGCGAACGGGUGAGUAAUACGUGGGUAACCUGCCCUCCUUUUGGGAUAAGCCUUGGAAACGGGGUCUAAUACUGAAUCAAGGGGGUUGGUCUCGCGGCAUCUCAGCUGGUUGGUGGGGUGAUGGCCUACCAAGGCGGUGACGGGUAGCCGGCGUGAGAGUGUGACCGGCGACAUGUGCGCUAAGAUGAGUCCUAGAAUCCUACGGGAGGCAGCAGUGGGGGCUAUUGAACAAUGGGCGAAAGCCGGAUGCAGCGACGCCGAGGGGGGGAUGAAGGCUUUCGGAUUUUAAUCCUCUUUCGCUAUCGAAAGGGUAGGUGGGGAAGAAGCGCCGGCUAACUACGUGCCAGCAGCCGCGGUAAUUC